GACGUUUUGGGGACUUGAAUACACAGCGGAACAGGUGGCCAAUGUGAAUCGGUUGCUGUAGCACCUGGGUUGAGGGUGAAAUGCUGUAUCGAGCCCAUCGUAACUCGCAGUACACUGAACUGUAGGUCACGAGGUUGAAGUGAAUCUAGUACUUUAUCCAGCGAGGGCGUCUAAGUCUGUCCCAUUGAACGAGAUAUAUUCCUCUAACAAUGGGUGUGUUCGCCUAUUAGUCUCUCAAAUUUCGCCAUCAUACCUAGACCACGUGACUAGAGCUUACCGAUCACACCUCGAGUUUGUUCAGGGCACCCACUCGCGUCACAUUUUUGUGACAUUUAC